UACGUAGGGUGCAAGCGUUAAUCGGAAUUACUGGGCGUAAAGCGUGCGCAGGCGGUUAUGUAAGACAGAUGUGAAAUCCCAGGGCUCAACCUUGGAACUGCAUUUGUGACUGCAUAGCUAGAGUACGGUAGAGGGGGAUGGAAUUCCGCGUGUAGCAGUGAAAUGCGUAGAUAUGCGGAGGAACACCGAUGGCGAAGGCAGUCCCCUGGACCUGUACUGACGCUCAUGCACGAAAAGCGUGGGGAGCAAACAGG
rnacentral:rRNA from 1 species